rnacentral:rRNA from 1 species
UGGGGAAUUUUGGACAAUGGGCGCAAGCCUGAUCCAGCCAUGCCGCGUGAGUGAAGAAGGCCUUCGGGUUGUAAAGCUCUUUUGGCGGGGAAGAUAAUGACGGUACCCGCAGAAUAAGCUCCGGCUAACUUCGUGCCAGCAGCCGCGGUAAUACGAAGGGAGCUAGCGUUGUUCGGAAUCACUGGGCGUAAAGCGCACGUAGGUGGGCAGUUAAGUCAGGGGUGAAAGCCCGAGGCUCAACCUCGGAAUUGCCUCUGAUACUGGCUGUCUAGAGUUCGAGAGAGGUGAGUGGAAUUCCUAGUGUAGAGGUGAAAUUCGUAGAUAUUAGGAAGAACACCGGUGGCGAAGGCGGCUCACUGGCUCGAUACUGACACUGAGGUGCGAAAGCGUGGGGAGCAAACAGGAUUAGAUACCCUAGUAGUCCCUGAGCGGGCUGGCAAGGCGCAU